GUGUUUUCUUUGGCAACACAUAUAAUGAAAUUGGAAUGAUACAGAGAAGAUUAUCAUGACCCCUGCCCAAAUUUUGGAAUGCCAAAUUUUUGAGGCAUUCCAUAUUUUU